rnacentral:misc_RNA from 1 species
UACGGAGGAUCCGAGCGUUAUCCGGAAUCAUUGGGUUUAAAGGGUCCGUAGGUGGGCGGUUAAGUCAGGGGUGAAAUCCCGCAGCUCAACUGUGGAAUUGCCCUUGAUACUGGCCGUCUUGAGUCGUUGUGAAGUGGUUGGAAUAUGUAGUGUAGCGGUGAAAUGCAUAGAUAUUACAUAGAACACCGAUUGCGAAGGCAGGCCACUAACAACGUACUGACACUGAUGGACGAAAGCGUGGGGAGCGAACAGG